GCUUCCGUGGCUCAGUCGGUAGAGCGCAGGUCUCAUACUAUUGUAUGACAGGGAACACCCUGCAAUCCUGAGGUCAAGAGUUCGAUCCUCUUCGGGAGCA